rnacentral:rRNA from 1 species
UACGAAGGGGCUAGCGUUGCUCGGAAUCACUGGGCGUAAAGCGCACGUAGGCGGCUUUCUAAGUCAGACGUGAAAUCCCUCAGCUCAACUGGGGAACUGCGUCUGAGACUGGUCAGCUUGAGUGCAGGAAGAGGACGCGGAAUUCAGGUGUAGCGGUGAAAUGCGUAGAUAUCUGGAGGAACACCGGUGGCGAAGGCGGCGUUCUGGACUGCAACUGACACUGAGGAACGAAAGCCAGGGGAGCAAAACGGG